AGUCCUACGGGGGGCAGCAGUGAGGAAUAUUGGUCAAUGGGCGGAAGCCUGAACCAGCCAAGUCGCGUGAGGGAAGAAGGCCCUGCGGGUCGCAGACCUCUUUGGACGGGGAGCAAGGCCGCCGACGUGUCGGCGGAAGGAGAGUACCCGUAGAACAAGCAUCGGCUAACUCCGUGCCAGCAGCCGCGGUAAUACGGAGGAUGCGAGCGUUAUCCGGAUUUACUGGGUGUAAAGGGAGCGUAGACGGCAGAGCAAGUCUGAAGUGAAAGCCCGCGGCCCAACUGCGGGACUGCUUUGGAAACUGC
rnacentral:rRNA from 1 species